CUUAGAUAUUUUAAAUACAAAAAAUAUUCGCCAGAGAAUUACGAGCUAAACAUGCUUAAAACUCUAAGGACUUGGCGGUACCUCAAACCCACCUAGAGGAGCCUGUUCUAUAAUCGACAAUCCACGAUUUACCUCACCAUCUCUUGCCAACUCCGCCUAUAUACCGCCGUCAAGCUUACCUUAUGAAAGACAAAAAGUAAGCAAAAUAAUAUAAACAAUUAAUAGAUCAGGUCAAGGUGUAGCUUACUGAGAUGGAAGAAAUGGGCUACAUUUUCUACACUAGAAAUAAUCUACGGAAAGAUACCCUGAAACAGGUUCUACAAGCAGGAUUUAGCAGUAAACUGGGAAAAGAGAGCCCAA
rnacentral:rRNA from 1 species